rnacentral:rRNA from 1 species
CCCUUAGAUGUUCUGGGCCGCACGCGCGCUACACUGAUGCAUUCAACGAGCCUAUCCCUGACCGACAGGUCCGGGUAAUCUUUGAAUCUGCAUCGUGACGGGGAUAGAUUAUUGCAAUUAUUAAUCUUCAACGAGGAAUGCCUAGUAGGCGCAAGUCAUCAGCUUGCGUCGAUUACGUCCCUGCCCUUUGUACACACCGCCCGUCGCUCCUACCGAUGAAUGGUCCGGUGAGGACUCGGGAUGACCUUUGGAUUUGACGAUGUUCAUUCCACUGUCUGUCAGAACUUGUUCAAACCUUAUCAUUUAAAGGAAGGAGAAGUCGUAACA